CGAACGGGUGAGUAACGCGUGGGUAACCUGCCUCAUACAGGGGGAUAACGGUUAGAAAUGACUGCUAAUACCGCAUAAGCGCACAGUACUGCAUGGUACGGUGUGAAAAACUCCGGUGGUAUGAGAUGGACCCGCGUCUGAUUAGCUAGUUGGUGGGGUAACGGCCCACCAAGGCGACGAUCAGUAGCCGACCUGAGAGGGUGACCGGCCACAUUGGGACUGAGACACGGCCCAG
rnacentral:rRNA from 1 species